UACGUAGGGGGCAAGCGUUGUCCGGAUUCAUUGGGCGUAAAGAGCGUGUAGGCGGCCAGGUAGGUCGGUUGUGAAAACUGGAGGCUCAACCUUCAGAGGUCGACCGAAACCAUCUGGCUAGAGUCCGGGAGAGGAGAGUGGAAUUCCUGGUGUAGCGGUGAAAUGCGCAGAUAUCAGGAGGAACACCUGAGGUGAAGACGGGUUGCUGGGCUGACACUGACGCUGAGGCGCGAAAGCCAGGGGAGCAAACGGG
rnacentral:rRNA from 1 species